rnacentral:tRNA from 1 species
GCGCUAGUAGCUCAGCCCGAUAGAGCACCGAUUUUGUAAUUCGGUUGACGGAGGUUGAAAUCCCCCCUAGCGCC